AUUGAACGCUGGCGGAAUGCUUUACACAUGCAAGUCGAACGGCAGCACGGGGGCAGCCCUGGUGGCGAGUGGCGAACGGGUGAGUAAUACAUCGGAACGUGCCCGGUCGUGGGGGAUAACGUAGCGAAAGUUACGCUAAUACCGCAUACGAUCUGAGGAUGAAAGCGGGGGACCUUCGGGCCUCGCGCGAUCGGAGCGGCCGAUGUCAGAUUAGGUAGUUGGUGGGGUAAAGGCCUACCAAGCCGACGAUCUGUAGCUGGUCUGAGAGGACGACCAGCCACACUUGGACUGGAGCACCGCCCAGACCCCUACGGGAGGCAGCAGUGGGGAAUUUUGGGCAAUGGGCGGAAACCUUAUCCAGCCAAUCCGCGUGGAAGACGGAGGCCUUCGGGGUGGAAAAUGCUUUUGUUCGGGAAGAAAAGGCUCUGGCUAAUACCUGGGGCUCAUGACGGUACCGUAAGAAUAAGCACCGGCUAACUACGUG
rnacentral:rRNA from 1 species